UACGAAGGGGGGCUAGCGUUGCUCGGAAUCACUGGGCGUAAAGCGCACGUAGGCGGAUCUUUAAGUCAGGGGGUGAAAAUCCCAAGGCUCAACCUUGGAACUGCCUUUGAUACUGGGGAUCUCGAGUCCGGAAGAGGUUGGUGGAACUGCGAGUGUAGAGGUGAAAAUUCGUAGAUAUUCGCAAGAACACCAGUGGCGAAGGCGGCCAACUGGUCCGGUACUGACGCUGAGGUGCGAAAGCGUGGGGAGCAAACAGGG
rnacentral:rRNA from 1 species